CUUCUUCUUCUCCACCUUUGCCCACUUUGGUUGAGGAGAUCGGCCCGAGGGAAUGUUGCUGGCGCGGUGGCUGUCGGGGUCGUUUACGGUAUGGAAAAGAGUAUGAAUGGAGGGGUGGCGAUGGAAUGGUUGUUCGGGUUUGGUUUUUCCGAAAAAUUAAAAGAAAAGGAGAAGAAGAAGAUAAAGGGGGGGGGGGGGAGAUGGCGAGCUAGGGGCGUGGGGUUGCUGGUUCGGUUCGGCGGUCGUUGUGGUGGUUAGUUCAGUGGUUGUUGUGGCUGGUUGAGGUGGAGACGAGGGAGGGCUGACACGAUGGUUAUUUAUGGG
rnacentral:lncRNA from 1 species